rnacentral:rRNA from 1 species
GAUGAACGCUAGCUACAGGCUUAACACAUGCAAGUCGCGGGGCAGCAUGGGGGUUGCUUGCAAUCCCCGAUGGCGACCGGCGCACGGGUGAGUAACGCGUAUCCAACCUGCCCUUCACCACGGGAUAACCCGGCGAAAGUCGGACUAAUACCGUAUGUUGUCCAUUGACGGCAUCCGAUUUGGACGAAAGGUUUGGCGGUGAAGGAUGGGGAUGCGUCCGAUUAGCUGGACGGCGGGGUGACGGCCCACCGUGGCGACGAUCGGGAGGGGUUCUGAGAGGAAGGUCCCCCACACUGGAACUGAGACACGGUCCAGACUCCUACGGGAGGCAGCAGUGAGGAAUAUUGAUCAAGGGGCGUAAGCCUGAACCAGCCAAGUAGCGUGCAGGAUGACGGCCCUAGGGGUUGUAAACUGCUUUUAUGCGGGGAUAAAGUGGCCCACGUGUGGGUUUUUGCAGGUACCGCAUGAAUAAGGACCGGCUAAUUCCGUG